UACAGAGGUCUCAAGCGUUGUUCGGAUUCACUGGGCGUAAAGGGUGCGUAGGUGGUGAGGUAAGUCGGAUGUGAAAUCUCCGAGCUCAACUCGGAAACUGCAUUGGAAACUGCCUUGCUCGAGGGUUGGAGGGGGGACUGGAAUGCUUGGUGUAGCAGUGAAAUGCGUAGAUAUCAAGCCGGAACACCAGUGGCGAAGGCGGCAUCCUGGACCGGCAUUGACGCUGGAGGCGCGGAAAGCUAGGGGAGCAAACGGG
rnacentral:rRNA from 1 species